UACGGGGGGGGCAAGCGUUGUCCGGAAUUAUUGGGCGUAAAGGGCGCGUAGGCGGAAUGGUAAGUUGAGGGUGAAAGCCCGGGGCUUAACCCCGGGUCUGCCUUCAAGACUGCUAUUCUUGAGUAUGGAAGAGGGAAGUGGAAUUCCCGGUGUAGCGGUGAAAUGCGUAGAUAUCGGGAAGAACACCAGUAGCGAAGGCGGCUUCCUGGUCCAUUACUGACGCUGAGGCGCGAAAGUGUGGGGAGCAAACAGG
rnacentral:rRNA from 1 species